GACGAACGCUGGCGGCGUGCUUAACACAUGCAAGUCGAGCGGUAAGGCCCUUUCGGGGGUACACGAGCGGCGAACGGGUGAGUAACACGUGGGUGACCUGCCCUCAGCUCUGGGAUAAGCCUGGGAAACUGGGUCUAAUACUGGAUAUGACUCCACGGUGCAUGUCGUGGGGUGGAAAGCCUUGUGCGGCUGAGGAUGGGCCCGCGGCCUAUCAGCUUGUUGGUGGGGUGAGGCCUACCAAGGCGACGACGGGUAGCCGGCCUGAGAGGGCGACCGGCCACACUGGGACUGAGACACGGCCCAGACUCCUACGGGAGGCAGCAGUGGGGAAUCUUGCGCAAUGGGCGAAAGCCUGACGCAGCGACGCCGCGUGAGGGAUGACGGCCU
rnacentral:rRNA from 1 species